CCUCUGGUGACUUUCUCUUGCUCUCCCUUUUGGGGAGCCUGAGGCCAAGAGCUGAGAAACCAUCCAGAAGCUUCUUUAAAGACUCAAGGGCCUCUUCACUGGAUCGGUGAACCUGCUGCACUGAGAGACGGUUUGGACUCAAGGAAGUGACUUUGGCAUAAAACUGCUGAGAGUUCUCUUUGGUGAGAAGCAAGUGGUUAUGUGGGAAGAAGCCAAAGCCACCAUCUUGGACUAUGUGGGUGUCUUUGAAGAUGGAUAUCAUCUAGGAUGCUCAGAAGGAAGGGAGGAGGAACUUUGGUCCUGAUGACUAUGGAGACAUUGCACCAGCCCUAGGACUUCUUUAUGAGGAUGUUUGGCUGACCCUAAGAACAGUUCUGACCGGACCAGUAUAUCAAUGGACUGUGACUGAAGGGACAGCAACCUUUCUAACUGGCACUGUUUUGGAAAUUAUUGGUUCUUUGAGUCCACGAUGGAAUCCAAAGGAAUCCCUUUAUCAUGGUCCUCACCUCACAUAAGAAGGAUUGUUGCACUUGAAGACUCUUGGCCUCCAUUUCCUGAAAAACAAAGUACUACGACUUAAAAGUUUGAAGAGAUUUUCCAGGGUUAAGAUUCUUCUAGCAAGAAAACAUAGGGGAAACACUUGAUUGGCAUAGGUAAUGAUUAACUGGAUAGGAACUUUUGGGCAGGCACAGUGUGUCUGGAGGUGGAUCACUGGGGGCAUCCCUUUGGGGUUUAUAUUUUGUCUAUGGUGAGCAGAGCUGUUUCUUGGUGGCCAUGUCCUGAGCUGCUUUCAUCCCCCAUGCCCUUCUGCUUUGAUCUGUCCCAGAGCAGUGGAGUUGGCCCUCUAGGGACUGAGAUCUCUGAA